rnacentral:rRNA from 1 species
AGAGUUUGAUCCUGGCUCAGGACGAACGCUGGCGGCGUGCCUAAUACAUGCAAGUAGAACGCUGAAGAGAGGAGCUUGCUCUUCUUGGAUGAGUUGCGAACGGGUGAGUAACGCGUAGGUAACCUGCCUUGUAGCGGGGGAUAACUAUUGGAAACGAUAGCUAAUACCGCAUAACAAUGGAUGACACAUGUCAUCUAUUUGAAAGGGGCAAUUGCUCCACUACAAGAUGGACCUGCGUUGUAUUAGCUAGUAGGUGAGGUAACGGCUCACCUAGGCGACGAUACAUAGCCGACCUGAGAGGGUGAUCGGCCACACUGGGACUGAGACACGGCCCAGACUCCUACGGGAGGCAGCAGUAGGGAAUCUUCGGCAAUGGGGGCAACCCUGACCGAGCAACGCCGCGUGAGUGAAGAAGGUUUUCGGAUCGUAAAGCUCUGUUGUAAGUCAAGAACGAGUGUGAGAGUGGAAAGUUCACACUGUGACGGUAGCUUACCAGAAAGGGACGGCUAACUACGUGCCAGCAGCCGCGGU